CUAGUUUUCUUCCACCAUCCGCACCAUAUCCCCAGACUAUUAUGUUAACUAAUCACACACCUGCUCACCACUGCCAAUGCCCUCAUUCCAGUAAACUGGAAAAAAACAGGAGCCCUCACAAUGAGAGAAUGGAUCAAUAAGGUGGAGUCCGUCCACCUCUUAGAGGAGGUGCAUUCUUCCCUAACACAUACAUAUGACAAGUACGAAAAGACUUGGGGCCCCUGGACGCGCUCUCUCACACACCCCAGCCAAGCGCCAAGCCAGUGGUCAGGUGGUAAACCCACAGUACGACCCGUUUUCAAUGAUUAGAGGCCACAUUACGUAGGCAUGAAUAGCAUUGACCCACUAUCUCCUGUCUCGGCUUUACUGCCGAAUGAAUAGG